UUAUAUUACAUGCAUACAGUGGCAUGUUCUUAUCGACUUUUGACCUUUUUGAGAUGAUGCCAAGAGCUUUUUUGCUUGGUUUGUGGACUUCUUUGGAGGCUUGACAAGUGUGGAGUUAUCCUCCAUCAUUCUACACCAAAAUCUCAAACUUGGAGUAGCCCUAUUCAUUCAACUUGCAUAUUUCCUCAAAAGAUUAUUAGAGGAUGAAGAGAGAACCAAAGAGAUAAGGUGAGGAACAACCUUGUUGAUGACUUAAUCGAAUGUGAAAAAAAGCUUGGAGUCACUUGACCCCACUAAAAUUUCAAAUAUAUAAAAUUUUAUUAAUUUGUAUUUUAACUGAUAAUUACUUUGUGAUCCCAGUACAUAAUUUAUAAUACUAAAAAUUAUUAAAU